AUGAACGCUAGCGACAGGCUUAACACAUGCAAGUCGAGGGGCAGCGGGGGUAGCGAUACCCGCCGGCGACCGGCGCACGGGUGAGUAACGCGUAUGCAACUUGCCUAUCAGAGGGGGAUAACCCGGCGAAAGUCGGACUAAUACCGCAUGAAGCAGGGGCCCCGCAUGGGGAUAUUUGCUAAAGAUUCAUCGCUGAUAGAUAGGCAUGCGUUCCAUUAGGCAGUUGGCGGGGUAACGGCCCACCAAACCGACGAUGGAUAGGGGUUCUGAGAGGAAGGUCCCCCACAUUGGUACUGAGACACGGACCAAACUCCUACGGGAGGCAGCAGUGAGGAAUAUUGGUCAAUGGCCGAGAGGCUGAACCAGCCAAGUCGCGUGAGGGAUGAAGGUUCUAUGGAUCGUAAACCUCUUUUAUAAGGGAAUAAAGUGCGGGACGUGUCCCGUUUUGUAUGUACCUUAUGAAUAAGGAUCGGCUAACUCCGUGCCAGCAGCCGCGGUAAUACGGAGGAUCCGAGCGUUAUCCGGAUUUAUUGGGUUUAAAGGGUGCGUAGGCGGCCUUUUAAGUCAGCGGUGAAAGUCUGUGGCUCAACCAUAGAAUUGCCGUUGAAACUGGGGGGCUUGAGUAUGUUUGAGGCAGGCGGAAUGCGUGGUGUAGCGGUGAAAUGCAUAGAUAUCACGCAGAACCCCGAUUGCGAAGGCAGCCUGCCAAGCCAUUACUGACGCUGAUGCACGAAAGCGUGGGGAUCAAACAGGAUUAGAUACCCUGGUAGUCCACGCAGUAAACGAUGAUCACUAGCUGUUUGCGAUACACUGUAAGCGGCACAGCGAAAGCGUUAAGUGAUCCACCUGGGGAGUACGCCGGCAACGGUGAAACUCAAAGGAAUUGGCGGGGGCCCGCACAAGCGGAGGAACAUGUGGUUUAAUUCGAUGAUACGCGAGGAACCUUACCCGGGUUUGAACGCAUUCGGACCGAGGUGGAAACACCUUUUCUAGCAAUAGCCGUUUGCGAGGUGCUGCAUGGUUGUCGUCAGCUCGUGCCGUGAGGUGUCGGCUUAAGUGCCAUAACGAGCGCAACCCUUGCCACUAGUUACUAACAGGUAAAGCUGAGGACUCUGGUGGGACUGCCAGCGUAAGCUGCGAGGAAGGCGGGGAUGACGUCAAAUCAGCACGGCCCUUACAUCCGGGGCGACACACGUGUUACAAUGGCGUGGACAAAGGGAAGCCACCUGGCGACAGGGAGCGAAUCCCCAAACCACGUCUCAGUUCGGAUCGGAGUCUGCAACCCGACUCCGUGAAGCUGGAUUCGCUAGUAAUCGCGCAUCAGCCAUGGCGCGGUGAAUACGUUCCCGGGCCUUGUACACACCGCCCGUCAAGCCAUGGGAGCCGGGGGUACCUGAAGUCCGUAACCGCGAGGAUCGGCCUAGGGUAAAACUGGUGACUGGGGCU
rnacentral:rRNA from 1 species